CGAACGCUGGCGGCGCGUUUUAAGCAUGCAAGUCGAACGGUAGACCGGUGCUUGCACUGGUUGAGAGUGGCGAACGGGUGAGUAACACGUAGGUGAUCUACCUCUGGAUUGGGGAUAGCCUGUGGAAACACAGGAUAAUACCGAAUACGACCCGGUAACUAUGGUUGCCGGAGGAAAGGCCCUUAGGGGUCGUCCGGAGAUGAGCCUGCGGUCCAUUAGCUAGUUGGUGUGGUAAUGGCGCACCAAGGCAACGAUGGAUAGCCGGCCUGAGAGGGUGAUCGGCCACACUGGGACUGAGACACGGCCCAGACUCCUACGGGAGGCAGCAGCUAAGAAUCUUCCGCAAUGGGCGAAAGCCUGACGGAGCGACGCCGCGUGAACGAAGAAUGUCGUGAGAUUGUAAAGUUCUUUUCCUGGGGAGGAAUAAUACUCGGAGGGAAUGCCGAGUAGAUGACGUGAACCAGGGAAUAAGCCCCGGCUAAUUCC
rnacentral:rRNA from 1 species